rnacentral:tRNA from 1 species
UAGCUCAGUCAGUUAGAGCAUGGUGCUGAUAACACUAAGGUCGUGAGUUCGAUCCCCAU